CAGACACACAUGUGAGCAAAACAGUAAGGCACAUAAAGCAAAAAUAAUAGAUAAAUAAUUUUUAAAAAGAUUUAAAAGGGAAAAAAAUAAUGAUGAAAGAGUCGAGCAGGUUCCUUUGACUUUGGUUUAGUAGCACUAGAAAAGUCUAGAAGGUAAAAAUGAUAUCUACGCAGAACAUAUAAUCGGGGUCUUUUUCUUGAUACAGUGUACUCUUGGUGCGUGUGCCAGCUGUACACAAACCACUGUAAAAAUUCAAAUUUAGGUAAGAGUAGGUCUACUGACUUCAUUUUGUAAGACAAAUACGGCAACUUACGUGCUAUUAAAUAGUCUAGAGCUGAUGCCCAUGCUAGAAUGUUCUAGGGACGGACUUUAUGUAUCAGAACUCAAAUCAGAAGCUAAUAGGAAACCUUGAUAAUCCUUUGAGCUAUUUGCCUGGACUUUUGACUGUAUACCAUCAACAACAGCUCGGCGAAAUGUCAACGAGGAACUGUUGAGCUCAUGCAGAAUAACAGAAACCUUCAGACCAGCUCCCACAUGUUCCCGGUGGUAUGCCUGCAGACUAGCGGAAGUUUUUGAAGUGGCUCUUAAGUUUUCUUGUUUGGAAGGCAGCAUGUUUGACAAAAUAACUUUCUUCUACCUUUUCGAGCAUACUGGUUCAUAGUUCAUACUAACAAAAGGACAUGUAAGGAUGACAGAUAAGAAUGAAACAGAUGUGAAUCAGCCCCAAAGAUGUCAGUAUGGGAGAGCUGUCUCCAUUACUCAUGUGUCAUGUGGUGGCAUGGGCAGGGGAGAGAUGCCCUAAUCCCUUCCACUCCACCCCUUAUCCAUCAGUGCCUGAGACAGGUGGGAGAGUUGGCCCUGAGGUCAGAAGGGCAGAAGAGCUACCCCUGUCAGUCACCCUGCUACCCCCUGUCAGCUGUAACACUCGGGAGAGCAGGCCCUGCUCCUCACCUGGGCAGCACAGUAGAGCCAACCCUGUUGGUUGAGGCGUGGGUGAGCCAGCCCCGAAGUUGUGAGCUGUCCUCGUUAUUCUCCUGUCACGAGACAGCAUGGGAGGGAGGAAAUUCCUCCCCCUUGCCCAUCAAUGCUUGAGGCAGGUGGGAAAGCUGGCCCCAUCUGCCACCAGCUGCAACACUCGGGAGAGCAGGCUCUGUACCUUGCCCAGGCAACACGGAUCGGCAGAGGUGUGGGUGAACCAGGCCUGAUACUGUGAGCAUGGAGGAGCUGUCCCCAUUACUCACCUGUGGUGUGGCAGCAGGGGUAGGAGAGAGAUGUCCGCCCCCAUCAAUGCCUGAGCCAGGUGGGAGAGCGGAAGAGCUGCUCCUGCUCCUUGUCUGCUAUGGCCUCUGGGGGUGGGGGGAGCGGCCCCUGCCCCACGCCUGGACUACACAGUAGAGCUGUCCCUGACAGUGCAGGUGCAGACCUGACCCUGAGGGCAGGAGAGCUGGCCCCGCCCCUGCUCAUGGCUGCCAGGGGUGAACUCACCAGGGCAAUGCAGGAGAGCUCAUCCUAGUGGUAAGGACAAGGGAGAGCUGGCGGACUGACCAACCUUGCAACUACCCAGAGCCAAAACCAGGGUUAGGGUUGCCCCACCCCAACAUCUACCCCACCUGUGAUCUGCUGGAGCAUGUGAAGGGACCAGCCCUACAGACCCAAAGCUGCAGGAUCUCCACGACACAGGGCAACAGCAGGGUAAUCAAGAAGAGUUCCAGCGAGGGCCCAGCAUCAAAGGUGUAGCAGAAUCCAGAGGCCUUGAGCCAGGCCAAUGGCUCUUUGCAGUGAGCACUUGCAAGUAAAGACAUAUGGAUAAAUGGGUUUACUGCGUGACUCACUGUGUCACACUGCAGCCUCCAUGAUGAGAUCCAACACUGCAGUUUCCUAGCUCAUCACAUGGUGGCCUGAAUCAGGACACUGCAAUGGCGUGUUAUCCAACCGGCGGCCACGUCCAACCUGCCGCCACUUCCAACCUGCUGCCACAUCCAACAUGCCACCACCAUUCAACCUGACGCCACCCUCCAACCUGCUGCCACAUCCAACCUGCCACCACGUCUACCUGCCGCCACAUCCACCUGCCACCACAUCCAACCUGCUGCCACGUCCAACCUGCCGCCACGUCUACCUGCCGCCACAUCCACCUGCCGCCACAUCCAACCUGCCACUAUGUCCACCUGCUGCCACGUCCAACCUGCUGCCACAUCCAACAUGCCACCACCAUUCAACCUGAUGCCACCCUCCAACCUGCCUCCACAUCCAACCUACUGCUGUUCUGGCCUGAAAACAAACUUAUGUGCGCAUGACCGUUCUUUAACCAUUGCUCCCCCUAAAUGCUAUACAUGGAAGGCUACCAUCCACGGCCUCUACUUUGUACACAUCCAAAUACAGACUAGCACAACAUUUUUCUAACCGAAUACAAAUUCAUCAGCUUCUUCUGACUGCAGAGCUGCCCAGUAUAUUAGUUUCUGUCCUUGUUUCUGCGAUAAAAUGCCUGACUUUGGCUCACAGCUGAACAGAGAAGGAACAGAAGAGGAGUCCGAGGCAGCUGGUCGGUCAUGUGACAUCCACGGUCAGGAAGCGGUGAUAAAUGCUGGGGUUCUGUUAUUAUUUUAUCCAGGACCCCAGCCCAUGUACCAGUGCUACCGACAUUUAGGGUGGGUGGUCCCACCACAUUUAACUCUAUGUAGAAAUUCCCUCACAGACAAGCCCGGAGGUUGGUUGGUUUCCAUGGUGAUUCUGAAGCCCAUCAAGUUGACAAGAUUUACUGUCACACUUGAGUUGCAUCAUGUAUGGUUGACAAGGCUAAAUUUGGCCAGUGACAGACACUGCCCAUGUUUCUUACCCAGACAAUGUAAUGAUGAUCUAGAGCUAUUUGACAACACAACCCAAAGUGGAGAGACUUUAGGCUGCAUCUUAGCUGUACGAGUGAUGAUACCCAAUACCUUUCCCCAUGACAGCUAGAGUUGUUUCCGGGACCUUGGGAGGUAUGACAGAGGUCAAUUAUGUCUGAUCCUGGGAAUCCUAUUGCGAUCAGCCUUUAUUAUUAAACAGGAUUGCUUCCAGCCUCUGGUGGCCAUUAGACAGUGCAGCCAAUGAAGUGGGGGUACACACACACACACACACACACACACACACACACACACACACAACUUAGCUGCAAGCUUGUCUUCCAAAUGUAGGGCCAAAUAGUGUCCUCCAGACAGUUUUCUGUGUAUUUUGAGCACCCCUGCAUAUCCUUUGGAUGAUACAGUAAAGCAAGGCACUCCAGGAUGCUACCCAGGCAUGUCUCAGCCCUGUGCUUGUGGUAAGCAGCAGCCUUGAGGGGUGAGGCACUGUCUACGAAGAGCAGGCUUAUUUUCACCUGCUACGAAAGAGACAGGUUUGCAGAGCUCAGUGUUGCUAGGCUGUGCUGUGAACCUCUGCAUGAUUGAUAUGUAUCUGGACCUUUCUACAUGCCUCAGGGCUUGGGAGCCAGAGAAACCAAUGCAGACACACUCUUAUGGUGCCCACUGUGCCAUGAGUGAUAAGGGAUUUUAUGCCUGACCAAGAAUCUUGUUUCCUGCCUGCAUCCAUGAUACAUCCAGAUACUAAUUCAUCACUUUGUUUAUAAACUCAAAUCCUAGACCUUUAUCACAUAUUAUUUAUCUUUAUCGUAUAUUGUUCCAUCUGAAUUUCAUAUUUCUUAAUCUAAAUUUCAGCAUUUUAAACUUUCUUGGAACUUACCCAUUUCAUCCAUUCUUGACUUGGUUAAUCUUACUUUUUGUGGUUGAUUUUAUGAUUUCCUUUUUAUCUGCUUUGUUUUUCAGCAGGCAGUGAAGGCAGUGGAGGUUGCUGUGCAUUUUUCUAACAUAGAGGGUUUCUACCGCUGUGAAUAACAGGUUGCUGUGAAGACUCUAAUCACGGAGACUUGUACAAGGAAAACACUGAAUUGGGGUGGCUUAGUCUCGGAGGCUCGGUCUAUUAUCAUCAUGGUGCGAAGCAUGUGGCAUGCAGGCAGACCUGGUGCUGGUACAUCUUCAUCAGAAGGCAACAGGAAGUGGCCUGUGUAUCGCACUGAGCUUGAGCAAGGAGACCUCAAAGUCCACUCCCUCAGUGACACACUUCCUCAAACAAGGUCAUACCUACUCCAAUAAAGCACUACAUCUGAAUAGUGCCACUCCCUAUGAGCUUAUGGGGGCCAAUUACAUCCAAACCACCACAUCGUCUUCACUGCUGAAUCUCCCCCUUCCUGUUUUACCAUCUUCUGACAUUAUAUGGAGACUUUGCUCUCCAGCUUCUGCACUGAAUUCAUCUGCUUCUUCCUACCUCCUUUCAGCACUGGAUAUUUUUACCAGGAAAGUAAGAACAGGCUGCAGCUGCUCAGCUCCCGACGGGAGGAUGGGAAGUGGAAGCUGCUUCCAAAAGCAGGUUGGGCCCCAUCCCUAUCACUGACUAGUCCAGGAAACUGAGGCUUCAGGAACAGGUUGAUCAAGCCAUGGACCUUUCUCUAAAAUAGAUCAUACAGUAGGAUACAAGGCAAGUCUUCAUAGAUACAGGAAAUUAAAGUAAGUCCUUAAAUUAUAGUGGAUCACAAUGGAAUAAGCACUACAAGUGAGCAGCAAGAGAAAUUACCUGCACAAAGUCACAGGGUAAGAAAAACUUCCCAGAACUGAAUGAAAAUGAGAAAAGAACACGCCGAAAUUCUAUGGGCUACAGUGGGAAGUGCUGUCUACACAGGCUGUUGAGGGAGGAUUGUCAUCAGUGAUCUUACUCAACCAGGCACGAUGUGCCCACAGAUACAACAGUAGCAUGACUGUUAUGGGGGUGACCAAUCACUGAUUAUACUUCAGCCCCUCUCCACAGGAGGUCAUCCAUGCUUAGCCCUGUAAACCCGGUCAAGCGCAAGACUGUGCCCCAUUCGUGGAAUUUCUCAUUAUUUGGUGUAGAGUGUGUGUUCAUGUGUAGGUUUUCCUUGAAGUCCUUCAGGUAACUACCGUGUGCAGACCACAAAGACCCUGACAUAAAAUGACUGAUGCUAACUAGUGCCAGGGGCAGAGCGACAGCCAUGGGUCGACUCUUCUAAAUAUGGGAGAAGGCAUGAGUGUGUGAUAAAUUGCAAUGAGGAGGGAAGAUGUCACAGACUAAGGCAACUGCCCAUAAAAAGUAUUUACAGUGAGGAGACUUUGUAACUACAAACACACCUUAAUGCAUUUUGCUCAGUGUGCCUAAUAGGAACUUGUAUUUUGAACUAACUGGAAAUAAACGAUUAUUUUAAAAGGUGGCUGGCCCCUAAGUUGAAGGAUUUUCCCAAGCCCCAUCAUGAUGAAACCUGAUUUGAGUAAAUUCUACUUAAUUUCAGAAUUAAGACUAUUACUAACACAAAAUUAUAAAACAUAUUGGAAAGAAAGAGAGGGCAAAUUGAUAGGCAUGUUUAUUGCUAAAUCUAUAGUCAAGUUCCAUAAUUUAAAAUUAUUUAAAACAAAAGUAUAAAUAUCUAUAAAAAACACAGUACUUUAAAUUAAAAUCGUUUUUUAAAAACCUGUAGCAUGAUGGUUAUAAAAUAACAAUUAUGAGAAUGACACAUUUAUAAUUACAGAAAACAUUAGAAAUGAACACUAACGAAGUGUCUUGCUGCUGAUUUGGGGAAAAGGGUGGGGACAAAUAUUUUUUUAUGUGUAUUCACUAAAAGAUUUUCCACCGACAUUGCAAAUGCCCCUGCCCUUUGGCAUUUUGCUAUAAAACAUGAAUUUAGUCAAAGGAGAUAGAAUGAAUAAACCCCAAAGAUGGUGGGAGAGUAAGGUGUCCUACGCUCAGAUAUGAAGUGAACAAUUGCCAGGCACUAGCUACACAAGAACACUCCCUGCCUCCACAGACAUGAACACAAACCCACUUUAGUAAUCAAGAAGAAACAAUACAUGUUGUUCGUGGUUGAUCUCUCACCUGUCUAUGCUGACUUUGAAAUUCUUUCUUGGCCAUAAUGAAAUCUAGUUUGAAAAGAGAAUUUUCAUCGUAUGUGAACAGUUGAACAUGAUUAGUAUUUGUAGCUUAUACUCUAUUUUGGACUUCUGCUCUUUCCUUAAUGUUUGCAUACACCUAAAUUCUUUAAAAUGACAACAUUGAAAGUGAAUUUCUAAGAAGCUGUUUUCAGUUUAUAUGCCAUAGGAAUGGUGUUUACAUACUAUUUGGAAAGACUGCGUUACAUUACACAUGGCUACAGGCCACAUAUAGGUAUUAUCAAAUAUACAUUGGACUUAUAACAAAAAUAUUUUUCUACAUUUACAUUAUAUACGUUCAUAUUCUGAAAUUUUAGACUAGUAUGUUGAGGAAUUUAAUUAGUUAAAAAUGCCUCAAAUUUCCAUUUCAUUAUUCAACAAAACUCUGAAUACCUUUUAACUUAAUUCUAAUAAAAUAUUGUACCAUGUGAAGAGCCAAAAUAAUAAGGUCUAUCAGAUAAAUGUAUUUUUUCCACCAUAGUUCUUCCAGACUGGAAUAAUUAAUUACACAUGGCAAUAACAACUUUAUCAAGAGUUCUGCUAGUGAGGUCACUAGGUACAUAACAAAGUUAUCUCUUUAAAAGGCUCGAUGAAGGAAAUUGUCCUACAGACUAGGAUUCUACAUCCAGGGAAAUGUUCUUCAAAGUUGAUGGUAAUAUAAAUGAUUUUCAAGGAAAUAGCUGAACUUACUGAUCUCCAGUAGAUCUGAACCUUCAGAAAUAACAAAAA